CAAAUACAGUUAUCACAAAAAAGGAAAAAAAUCUCUCCUCCAAAAAAUAUUCCUUUCUCCUUUUCAAUUACCAAUACCAGUAUUUGCUCUGACUUCAAUCCCUUUGAUUCAGGGUGCGAUUUCGGCUGAAUCUGGAAAAGGUUUAUUUACAUGAUUAGGAAACAAAAAUGAUGAAAGAAAUAGGGGAAAAGAAAGAUAUAUUUACAACUGUACGAAGCUAUGGAGGCUCUAGAUGCCAUGGCCCGAGCAUUUUCAAAGAAUAAGAUGUAUACUUUGAAAUAAAAGGUCCCGGAUUUUGCUUACGCUCCCGCUGCUGACAGAAUACCAAUCUUUCUAAAGGUGGCUAAGAAUCGUCAUCGUCGAAAAGGAAUGAGAGUACCAAUUGUGAUAAUCAGAUUAUUGAGGAAUAAUUAAGCUCGAGAAACUUCUUUUUAGUGUAAAAUUAUGUAAGAAUGGUGGCGAGGUCAUUGCUAACUGCUGCCUUACUUGAUAGGUUCAAUGUCGAUGAUCACUAUGGUUUGUGGUCUAAUGGCAUUUUUGCUCUGUAGGAUCCAGAAAUAUACUUGGAUGUUCGUGAGGCAUUGUUGCUGACCAAAGUGUCGGCGUAAAGUGAGCCAAAUUUUCGGCUACAACAGUUCUGUGUUGUUAUGCAGGACCCAAUUAGGAGUCUAGAUCACACUUAUUUGGACCAAUUACAGGGACCAUUUAAAGAGACCAAGAGUUUAAUCAAGAGGUGUUAAUUUUGUGAACAGGCAUUGCGGAGGAGUAUUGAGCCCUAUGGUUAAGAUCUAUUGGUGGUCUCCGUUUCUUGGUUCAAAUAUCAUUUUUAGGCAAACAAUUCAGCUCAUGGAAAUAAUUAUACAUCAUAUUUACGAAUGGUAAUGGAUUAUCAACUGUGGUGAAGUUUAAUAUGCCCGGUGCUCAGCACAGGCACAAAUCUAAUUAAUGUGUCAUUAGAUGAAUGUUAGGAAUUUCCGUGCUCAGCACAGGCACAAAUCUAAUUAAUGUGUCAUUAGAUGAAAGUGUCUAUUUGGCAGGAAAAAUAGACAAAACUUGGCCGGAUUUCUGUUCAACCGAGUCAACUCAGUAAUUCAGACCUCUAAGACGAUUCAGACCGUUGAGUUGACUGUCUAUUCCGACGAUGAAUGUAAGCGACCCAAGUGUCUGGACCGCAUAAUUCAGGCGGUUUUCUUGCCGGAUUCCGGUAACUCCAAAGAUUUUCCGGCAACCCAAUUUUAUGUAGAAACUUGACGUCACCAAAUAAAUAAUGCAUCAGGACGGGGAGGCAAAGCCGAGACACACCAAAUAAAAAAUCUUAAGCGACGGGCGAGGCGAACCAGCCACACCAAAUAAAAAUACAUCGCGAUGGGAUUAGGCGAAGUUGAGCUACACCAAAUCAAAAAUAUUAAGUGACAGGCACGAGGAGAAGCCAAGCCACACCAAAUCAAAAUCUGAAGCCACGGGCGAGGCGAAGUCGAGCCACACCAAAUAAAAAAUGUAACGCGAGCCACAUCAGCUCACAAAUGCACGACAAGCGUGGCGAAGCCACAUCACGCCCAAACUAAAAAUAUGGUUAAAAGAAAAUAAAUAAAUAUGGCACGGGUGGAUGGUUUUCAGGUCAGACCGGUGCGUAGCACGGACACAAAAUCUAGUGCAACUUGAUAUGAUGUUAGAAAUUAGUAUUUAUAGAGAAUUCAAAGAUAAUCUUUGGAUCUAGCCAUUGGAUGGAGCUGUUGGACGACGAAACUUUGGCCGCUCGACUGAACUUCCAAAGCCAAAAAACAUGUGUUGUGCAUGUCUUAUUAGGCCAUAAUAGGCAAACCCACAGAUUAUUGGUUUGCUUAGGGCUGUCAAUGGGUACCCAUUACCCGGAACCGGAACCAGACCCGUUAGAUUCGGGUCCGAUUUUGGGUCUUAAAGUUGGACCCAUUAACAACUUAGGACCGGGGGGCAAUUACCCGAUUUGACCUGAAUGUUAACGGGUCCAAACAGGUAAUACCCGUCGGGUACCCGGUUAUUUAUCCUUUUAUUCAUCUUUUUUAGCAAAAUUAUUGGUAUUUUGCU